AGAACAGUGGGGAGCUGUGCGGAUGGGUGAAGUGCAUGUAUGCCUGCCUAGACGGGCCAGAAAAGCCAAACUUAAGAAAUCUGCCUAUGUACAGAACAAGUCAACUAAGGGGUUCUCAUUAAUCUACCGUCUGUGAAUAUCGUUAUUUUUCAGGUAUACAAAUGCUCUCAGUCCAGCCAGACACCAAGCCGAAAGGUUGUGCUGGCUGCAACCGAAAGAUCAAGGACCGGUAUCUUCUAAAGGCACUGGACAAAUACUGGCAUGAAGACUGCCUGAAGUGUGCCUGCUGUGACUGUCGCUUGGGAGAGGUGGGCUCCACCCUGUACACUAAAGCUAAUCUUAUCCUUUGUCGCAGAGACUAUCUGAGUAUCUCAAGUAGAUUUAUGUUACCAUUUCAAAUAAGGAGUUUAUAUAGCCCGGGCAAUGUUAAGGUGUUUUAAUAAACCAAAGGACAAAAAUU
rnacentral:sRNA from 1 species